UCCGUCUGGUGGCAGCCAUCAGGUAAGCCAAGAUGGGCGCAUACAAGUACAUCCAGGAGCUAUGGAGAAAGAAGCAGUCUGAUGUCAUGCGCUUUCUUCUGAGGGUCCGCUGCUGGCAGUACCGCCAGCUCUCUGCUCUCCACAGGGCUCCCCGCCCCACCCGGCCUGAUAAAGCGUGCCGACUGGGCUACAAAGCCAAGCAAGGUUACGUUAUAUAUAGGAUUCGUGUUCGCCGUGGUGGCCAAAAACGCCCUGUUCCUAAGGGUGCAACUUACGGCAAGCCUGUCCAUCAUGGUGUUAACCAGCUAAAGUUUGCUCGAAGCCUUCAGUCCGUUGCAGAGGAGUGAGCUGGACGCCACUGUGGGGCUCUGAGAGUCCUGAAUUCUUACUGGGUUGGAGAAGAUUCCACAUACAAAUUUUUUGAGGUUAUCCUCAUUGAUCCAUUCCAUAAAGCUAUCAGAAGAAAUCCUGACACCCAAUGGAUCACCAAACCAGUCCACAAGCACAGGGAGAUGCAUGGGCUGACAUCUGCAGGUCGAAAGAGCCUUGGCCUUGGAAAGGGCCGUAAGUUCCACCACACUAUUGGUGGUUCUCACCGGGCAGCUUGGAGAAGGCGCAAUACUCUCCAGCUCCACCGUUACCGCUAAUAUAAGUAAAGUUUGUAAAAUUCAUACCUAAUAAACAAUUUAGGACAGUCAUGUCUGCUUACAGGUGUUAUUUGUCUGUUAAAACUAGUCUGCAGCUUGUUUCUUGAAUGCUUUGUCAAAUUAAGAAAGUUAAAGUGCAAUAAUGUUUGAAGACAAUAAGUGGUGGUGUAUCUUGUUUCUAAUAAGAUAAACUUUUUUGUCUUUAUCUUAUUAGGGAGUUGUAUGUCAGUGUAUAAAACAUACUGUGGUAUAAUAGGUUUAAAAUAAAUUCUUUAAGAGAAAAAAAA